AAUGCCCUGCUUCCAGGAAAAGCCUCUAAGCAUCAGGGAACAUUAAAUCGUACCCCAAACCGACACAGGUGGUCAGGUAGAGAAUACCAAGGCGCUUGAGAGAACUAGGGUGAAGGAACUAGGCAAAAUGGUGCCGUAACUUCGGGAGAAGGCACGCUGGUGUGUAGGUGAAGUCACUGCGGAUGGAGCUGAGACCAGUCGAAGAUACCAGCUGGCUGCAACUGUUUAUUAAAAACACAGCACUUUGCAAACACGAAA
rnacentral:rRNA from 1 species